rnacentral:rRNA from 1 species
UAGUCCACGCCGUAAACGAUGUGUGCUAGAUGUCGGGUCCAUAGGAUUCGGUGUCGCAGCUAACGCACUAAGCACACCGCCUGGGGAGUACGGUCGCAAGAUUAAAACUCAAAGGAAUUGACGGGGGGCCCGCACAAGCGGUGGAGCAUGUGGUUUAAUUCGACGCAACGCGCAGAACCUUACCAACCCUUGACAUCCUGUGCUAACCCGAGAGAUCGGGCGUUCCCUUCGGGGACGCAGUGACAGGUGCUGCAUGGCUGUCGUCAGCUCGUGUCGUGAGAUGUUCGGUUAAGUCCGGCAACGAGCGCAACCCACGUCCUUAGUUGCCAUCCGUCUGGUGGGCACUCUAAGGAAACUGCCCGUGAUAAGCGGGAGGAAGGUGUGGAUGACGUCAAGUCCUCA